rnacentral:lncRNA from 1 species
AAUUAUACUAUUUCGAAAUUCAAACCCUAAACCCCAAAACUCAACUCUAAACCCUAAACCACCAAUCCUAAACCCUUUUUAUUUUAAAUACGAACCCUAAACCAUCAAUCCUAAACCUUUUUUUUUAAACAUCAACUUUAAACCCUGAAACAUCAACUCUAAACCCUAAACCCCGAAACAUCAAUUCUAAACCCUAAACCUUCAACUCUAAACCCUAAAACAUCAGCUCUAAACCCUAAAC